rnacentral:tmRNA from 1 species
GGGGGCGACAGGCUUCGACAGGGGAUUGUAUAGAUCUUUGGAUGCACGCCGGGCGAUAUUUUGGUAGCCCGUUAUAAAUGCCGAAAUAAACAACAAAUGCUAACUCUAAUCAAGAAUUAGCUCUCGCAGCCUAACUUUUAAGUUAGCUUUCGAGAUGCCUCAGCGGAAGUCAGCUUGAUGCGACCGUUCGAGGUAUAACACAGUUCAAGCUAGUUCAUAUUCACCGUCUGCGAAUAUGAGCGAAAUGUUAGUCAGGCUAGUCUGUUUUGAGUUCUUGUCAAUUCACAUUCUCAAUCCAGACGAAACUUGAGUGAAUUGAACAAGCGUGUAGAGUUCACUGGUCGCAACCUUUGGAUGCGAGUUCGAUUCUCGCCGCCUCCAUUU